UCUUCUCGUCUGUCGCCAUGUGAGAUGUACCUUUCACUUUCCUCCAUGAUUGUGAGGCCUCCUUAGCCACAUGGAACUGAAAUGCUGGAGUCCUUCAUCCGAAUGGUAAAUGGCACUUGUGACAAAAAUCAAAGUAACUAAAAAAGAAUCUGGUUGAAACCUCAGUAACAGUUGGCCUGUCUACUGCCUCACACUAACAAGGGGGAGCUAAUAAAACCGAGGUUAGAACACACAAUGUGGAAAUGAAAACCUUAUUCUUGUCAAUGGAUGGAGGGUGGGCACUGUUAGAAGGCACCAGGAAGACAAAGUUCCUGCCAUCGACACUUACAUACUAGAGGAGGAAAUAGGAAAUAAACAGCCUGUACAAGAAACAUGGUGCCAGCAUCUGCUUCUGGUGAGGACUGCAGGAAGCUUCCAAUCAUGGUCCAAAAAAUGCGGAGCCUGCGUGUCACGUGAUAAGAGAUGGAGCGUGAGAAAGAGGCAGGAGGAGAAAGUAUAUUAGAGGGCAAAAGAUUUGAACAGACACAUCAGAAAAGAAGACAUACAAAUGGCCGCUAAGCACUUGAAAGGAUUCUGAACACCAUUAGUCAUCAGUGAAAUGCAAAUUAAAGCCAUAAUGAAUGGCGCUAUACAUUUUCAGAAUGGCAAGGAUUGAAGACCGAAAAAAAUCAAGCGUUGAGGAGAGUGACAAAUGGGGAGACAGCCGUGGUGCAUGAUCGCCGAAUAAAUACCAUGUGAGGAUACAGCAAGAAGGUGGCCAUCUACAAGCCAAGGAGACAGGCCUCAGAAGAAACCAACCCUUCUUACACCCUGGACUCAGACUUCUAAUCUCCAGAACUUGUUAAUGCACAAGGUCUUGUGUUGAAAAUGUAGAGCCACGAGAUAAAAGCAGCUUGGAUGGCUGACUCAUAUACAAGGACAACUGCCUGAGAGUCACCAGGGCUAUCAAGAAGUUUGCAGAAACAAGAAAUAAACUUUUACUGUUUUAAA
rnacentral:lncRNA from 1 species